rnacentral:tRNA from 1 species
CUCCCCAUGCGAGAGUAGGGAACUGCCAGGCAUCAAAUUUAGCGUGCUGAUAUGGCUCAGUUGGUAGAGCGCACCCUUGGUAAGGGUGAGGUCCCCAGUUCGACUCUGGGUAUCAGCACCACUUUUUAGGUUAAAGUUCGGCAGAUUAGAAAAGAAUUUGUCUGGCGGCAGUAGCGCGGUGGUCCCACCUGACCCCAUGCCGAACUCAGA